CUGACUUCCUUCUCCAGGGUAUCUCCUCCUACAAGGCUCUGCUAAGGAACCACUCUGUGUUUUCUGGAUGCCUUCUUGAGUUUGCUGGUAGCCACCCACAGACAUUUAGAAGGAGGAGAGAAGUCCACCUGGCAGAGACACUCUGAAAUGAGGGAUUAGAGACCGGGAUCCGAGGAGCAAGAACUACAGCUGGAAGACAAGGGAGCAGGCCCUGAAAACACUACUACUCAGAGAUCCACCAUGGCCUCUCUUGGCCUCCAACUUGUGGGCUACAUCCUAGGCCUCCUGGGGCUACUGGGCACGAUGACUGCCAUGCUUCUCCCCAACUGGCGAACAAGUUCUUACGUUGGUGCCAGCAUUGUGACAGCAGUCGGUUUCUCCAAGGGCCUCUGGAUGGAGUGCGCCACACAAAGCACCGGCAUCACCCAGUGUGACAUCUACAGCACCCUGCUAGGCUUGCCUGCUGAUAUCCAGGCUGCUCAGGCCAUGAUGGUCACUUCCACUGCCUUCUCCUCCCUGGCUUGUAUUAUUUCUGUGGUGGGCAUGAGAUGCACGAUCUUCUGCCAGGAAUCUCGAGCCAAAGAUAGAGUGGUGAUAGCAGGUGGAAUCUUCUUCAUCCUUGGAGGUCUCCUGAGCUUCAUCCCUGUAGUCUGGAAUCUUCACGGCAUCCUACGGGACUUCUACUCACCACUGGUGCCUGACAGCAUGAAAUUUGAGAUCGGAGAGGCUCUUUACUUGGGCGUGAUUUCCUCUCUCUUCUCCAUGGUAGCUGGAAUCAUCCUCUGUUUUACUUGCUCAUCCCAGAGAAAUCGUUCCAACUAUGAUGCUUACCAGGCCCAGCCCCUCGCCACCAGGAGCUCUCCAAGACCUGGCCAAGCUCCGAAAGCGAAGAGUGAGUUCAAUUCCUACAGCCUCACAGGGUAUGUGUGAAGCAUCAGAGGCCAGAGUUGGGGGGAUGGCUGGGUCUGUGCAAACCAGUGGUCGAUCCCCCAUCCCUAUCCCCAGGGCUACAAGAUGAGGGACACUGCCACUGGAUCAUGUCAGAAGGUGCUGCUGAGGAUAGAAUGACUCUGGCCAUUGGAUCAAGUGAAGGCACAAGUGAGAGCUGGCAAGACAGUAUGAGGGUUCAAUGGGCAAGCCAGCCUUUCUAUUUCUCUCACUUUGUGCCCCUACCCUGAGUUUUCAGCCCUCAACUCCAAGCUCCCAACCACUACCUUUGGCCAGGUCUCAGAGGCUCCCAUAGUUUGCGGUUUGCCUGGGAAUCAUUCCAAAACCCCAGUAAUCAUUUCCCACUGACUGCAUCUUCUCUGUGAUCAAAGACCUUUCCCUGUGGCUAAGGAUGGCUCUGAGUUCAUUACUGGGGAACAGAAGGAAAAAGGAAUGGUGACAAUUCUGGACAUGGCUCUAGCCUCCUUCUCAAGUGUCCCUCCAAAGAAACUGGUCAGUACCCAGGCCCUGAGCCUCCAUUCCACUACUCUUGUUAUAACUUCAAAGUGCCCAGCCUGGAUUGUACCUGAACCGAAAUAAAGCCAUCCCACAGCGUCCACGAAAUAGUGGGUGCGUGAUGAGAAGAAGGAAAGGCAGCUUGGGACUAAAAUAAGAUAAGAACCACUUCCUAGGGCAUUUCCCCCAGCUUCCCCCUGCACUCCAGCUCAUGGUUCAGGAAUUGCACCUGCAGCUAGAGCAAAGCACAAGGAAAGACCAUCUGGUGAGAAGCUCAAGACAGCAGCAGACCAGACUGUGCCUCCUCCUCCGAGCUGCUUUCCAAACUGCAGCUCCAAAUUUCACGGAAGCCUCUACCUCUCUGUGUGACACCUGACUUGGCUUCUUGUCUAAGCUACAAGGCUAAGGGCCCCACACAAUGAUUUUUCUAGGGACUGUAAAGCAUAUUUUAGUAUAUGUGCUGCUAAAGUGAACACUGUGGAGAUUUUAUACACAUGGUUCUUGGCAGGGUUGGGGUGCGGCCGUGUGGAGAUUGUGGGGGACUGAUGAAGAGAUCUUCCAUUCUGGCUAAGGAAAAAUAACAUUGGUAUGUAAUAAUUCUGGAUAGGCAUGUUUGUUGGCUCUAAUGGGGGGUUUCUACUUAUGCCAGAGAGAUGUGGUAACCCAGAGAGUUGCCAAGUCUAAUGGCAAAUCAGCUGCAAAGGCUGUCAUCACCCCCCAUCUCAGGGUCUAUCCACAGAGCUUCUCAAAGACCACAGCAUCAGGCAAAUCCUUUGCCACCUUCACGUCCUUCCCCCCACUCCAUAAAUCAGAAGUUAUUCCAGGCCCGCUAGAGGGUAUUUGAGGCACUAACAUCAAACAUCCAUGUCCAAGGUGCUAUGUCCAUAAUGCGAGUGAUGACUGAGCUGCUGCCCGGGACUGUAGCUUAGGUAGGAGGGUAGAGAACGGUUCCCAGGCAGACAGUUUCUCUUCCAAAGUCUGCAAAUGCUCCAUGUCCCCCAGAGAGGAAGUGGAGUGCUCAUUAACCAAACACAUUUUCACUUAACCAGCCCAAGUAUCGUCAACUUCUGACAAAAUCCCUAAUACAGCUCUCCAAAUCUGCACACCACGGCAAGAGGUGCAUUCGAGGUCUCCAGCAGGCCUUUCAUGUUUCUACCUUCUGUCCUGCCAACCUGGAAGACUCCCUUCCCUUAGCCAAGUCCUCUUCAAGUUUGGAGAGCUUGCCCAACACUUCUUCAUUGAGCCUUCUCUGACCACUCCAUCCCUCGCCUACCCCUCCUUCCUUUAACCCUCAGCAUAUAAAUUGCUUCUUGAUGCUUAUCACUCCAAAUUUUUUGUUUGAUAGUUAUGUUCUUGCAUGCAUGUCUGAUCUCACAAGUAUAUUGUAAACUGUCAGAGGGCGUGGGUACAUCUCAGACCUCUCUGUAUCUACCUAUUUGUAACACUGUUGAGCACACAGUAGGCGAUCAAUAAACAUGUUGAUUGA